GGGGGGGGCUCAUAUUCAUAUACUCGUGUUCUGCGUUAUUAAUAUCUUUUGAAAUCGAUUGUUUUUAUGGUCUGUGAACACGAAUAUAUGAAUAUGAGCCCCCCCCAAUUAUC
rnacentral:miRNA from 1 species